CAGUCGACGCUUCUUUUCCCACCGGAGCUUGCUCCACCGGGAAAAGAGGAGUGGCGAACGGGUGAGUAACACGUGGGUAACCUGCCCAUCAGAAGGGGAUAACACUUGGAAACAGGUGCUAAUACCGUAUAACAAUCGAAACCGCAUGGUUUCGUUUUGAAAGGCGCUUUACGGUGCCGCUGAUGGAUGGACCCGCGGUGCAUUAGCUAGUUGGUGAGGUAACGGCUCACCAAGGCCACGAUGCAUAGCCGACCUGAGAGGGUGAUCGGCCACAU
rnacentral:rRNA from 1 species